rnacentral:rRNA from 1 species
CCUACGGAGGCUGCAGUGGGGAAUAUUGGACAAUGGGGGCAACCCUGAUCCAGCCAUGCGGCGUGUGUGAAGAAGGCCCUCGGGCUGUAAAGCACUUUCAGUGAGGAAGAACGCCUGGUGGUUAAUACCCAUCAGGAAAGACAUCACUCACAGAAGAAGCACCGGCUAACUCCGUGCCAGCAGCCGCGGUAAUACGGAGGGUGCGAGCGUUAAUCGGAAUUACUGGGCGUAAAGCGCGCGUAGGUGGCUUGAUAAGCCGGUUGUGAAAGCCCCGGGCUCAACCUGGGAACGGCAUCCGGAACUGUCAAGCUAGAGUGCAGGAGAGGAAGGUAGAAUUCCCGGUGUAGCGGUGAAAUGCGUAGAGAUCGGGAGGAAUACCAGUGGCGAAGGCGGCCUUCUGGACUGACACUGACACUGAGGUGCGAAAGCGUGGGUAGCAAACAGGAUUAGAUACCCUAGUAGUC